rnacentral:misc_RNA from 1 species
UUUUUGUUGACUUCGAAACACGCUCCAACAUGAGGAGAAAAACAACCAAUGCUUCAUACGUCAGCGCUGUCACUUAUUAUGGUUGGUUGGUUGGUUCUAUUUCUGGCUCCGGAAUGUAUUGAAACAGUGUCCACACGCCGUUUUCCAGAUAGCACUGAAAGAUGAAUCCCUGUCGCAAUAUGAUGCGACCUUAUUCUAGCCAUCAAGGUGAUAGUACUCCUCCUAUAAUUGCCCAAAUCUCUGAACCAAGGAGAGGAUAAUAAGGCAGAUGAGUGUUCGAAAUAUCUUUUCCCCUUGUAUCCGAAUUCUUGCAACUCAGAGAUCCAAGUUUAGCAAGCAGGUCAGCCAUUUCGUUGCCAGGGAUAUCCAUAUAACCCGGGAUCCAGACUAACAGUAUUUCCAUGCCUUUGUAUACCGCCAUCUGUAUGAGAUGUCAAUAGCGCAGAAUGGCCAUGCUUUCAACCAGGAAAAUGAUAUGGGAGUCGUGUACACGGAUCGCCUCUCUGGCUUCAAGGAAAGGAGAAUACACCCCGUACCCAGCCCCGUACCCAGCCCCACCAUCAGGGAGCACAGAACCAUCCGUGUAUAUUUCUCUGUCCAGGUUAAGAUUGCGAAUGUCCGCGGCGGCAAGCCUCAAAAUCCCUUCCGAGGAUAAUCUUUUGUUGUUGUUGUACCAAAAUUUACCUAUCCUCCUUUUAAAAUUUUUAAUAUUAUCAAAAGUAUUAAGAUAAAUAUUGAUUUUGAAAAGUCUCAGCGAGAAUCUGUGAUAGAAGGAAGGGAGUUUAUUAAGCUUGCCAAAAACUGUCAAAGCUACUUGUUUGUCAUUAAUAAAGUUGCAUAAGGAAUUUGACGGAAUAUAUUGAU